GAUGAACGCUGGCGGCGUGCCUAAUACAUGCCAGUAGAACGCUGAAGGAGGAGCUUGCUCUUCUGGAUGAGUUGCGAACGGGUGAGUAACGCGUAGGUAACCUGCCUGGUAGCGGGGGAUAACUAUCGGAAACGAUAGCUAAUACCGCAUGACAACAGUUAUUGCAUGAUAACUGUUUAAAAGGGGCAACUGCUCCACUACCAGAUGGACCUGCGUUGUAUUAGCUAGUUGGUGAGGUAACGGCUCACCAAGGCGACGAUACAUAGCCGACCUGAGAGGGUGAUCGGCCACACUGGGACUGAGACACGGCCCAGACUCCUACGGGAGGCAGCAGUAGGGAAUCUUCGGCAAUGGACGGAAGUCUGACCGAGAAACGCCGCGUGAGGGAAGAAGGUUUUCGGAUCGUAAAGCUCUGUUGUAAGAGAAGAACGAGUGUGAGAGUGGAAAGUUCACACUGUGACGGUAUCUUACCAGAAAGGGACGGCUAACUACGUG
rnacentral:rRNA from 1 species